GACGAACGCUGGCGGCGCGCUUAACACAUGCAAGUCGAACGGAAAGGCCUGCUUUCCCUUGUGGAUUGCGGGUACUCGAGUGGCGAACGGGUGAGUAACACGUGAGUGAUCUGCCCCCAACUUGGGUAUAAGCCUGGGAAACUGGGUCUAAUUCCCGAUAGGACUGCAGGGUGGUGCCUGUGGUGGAAAACGAUUUUCUAGUGGUUGGGGAUGAGCUCGCGGCCUAUCAGCUUGUUGGUGGGGUAAUGGCCUACCAAGGCGGCGACGGGUAGCCGGCCUGAGAGGGUGGACGGCCACAUUGGGACUGAGAUACGGCCCAGACUCCUACGGGAGGCAGCAGUGGGGAAUAUUGCACAAUGGGCGGAAGCCUGAUGCAGCGACGCCGCGUGGGUGAUGACGGCCUUCGGGUUGUAAACUCCUUUCGACCGCGAGGAAGCCACCUGGUUGGAAGGGUGGUGACGGUAGUGGUAGAAGAAGCACCGGCUAACUACGUG
rnacentral:rRNA from 1 species